rnacentral:rRNA from 1 species
AUUGAACGCUGGCGGCAGGCCUAACACAUGCAAGUCGAACGAGUGGCGGACGGGUGAGUAAUGUCUGGGAAACUGCCUGAUGGAGGGGGAUAACUACUGGAAACGGUAGCUAAUACCGCAUACCAUCGGAUGAGCCCAGAUGGGAUUAGCUAGUAGGGGGGGUAAAGGCUCACCUAGGCGACGAUCUCUAGCUGGUCUGAGAGGAUGAUCAGCCAACUUGGAACUGAGACACGGGCCAGACUCCGACGUGAGGCAACAGUGGGGAAUAUUGCACAAUGGGCGCAAGCCUGAUGCAGCCAUGCCGCGUGUAUGAAGAAGGCCUUCGGGUUGUAAAGUACUUUCAGCGGGGAGGCGUUACCCGCAGAAGAAGCACCGGCUAACUCCGUGCCAGCCGCCGCGGUAAUAC